rnacentral:rRNA from 1 species
AUUGAACGCUGGCGGCAGGCCUAACACAUGCAAGUCGAGCGGAUGAAGGGAGCUUGCUCCUGGAUUCAGCGGCGGACGGGUGAGUAAUGCCUGGGAAUCUGCCUGGUAGUGGGGGAUAACGUCCGGAAACGGGCGCUAAUACCGCAUACGUCCUGAGGGAGAAAGUGGGGGAUCUUCGGACCUCACGCUAUCAGAUGAGCCUAGGUCGGAUUAGCUAGUUGGUGGGGUAAAGGCCUACCAAGGCGACGAUCCGUAACUGGUCUGAGAGGAUGAUCAGUCACACUGGAACUGAGACACGGUCCAGACUCCUACGGGAGGCAGCAGUGGGCAAUAUUGGACAAUGGGCGAAAGCCUGAUCCAGCCAUGCCGCGUGUGUGAAGAAGGUCUUCGGAUUGUAAAGCACUUUAAGUUGGGAGGAAGGGCAGUAAGUUAAUACCUUGCUGUUUUGACGUUACCAACAGAAUAAGCACCGGCUAACUUCGUG